rnacentral:rRNA from 1 species
GUGGGGAAUCUUGCGUAAUGGGCGAAAGCCUGACGCAGCCAUGCCGCGUGAAUGAUGAAGGUCUUAGGAUUGUAAAAUUCUUUCACCGGGGACGAUAAUGACGGUACCCGGAGAAGAAGCCCCGGCUAACUUCGUGCCAGCAGCCGCGGUAAUACGAAGGGGGCUAGCGUUGCUCGGAAUUACUGGGCGUAAAGGGCGCGUAGGCGGACAGUUUAGUCAGAGGUGAAAGCCCAGGGCUCAACCUUGGAAUUGCCUUUGAUACUGGCUGUCUUGAGUACGGGAGAGGUGAGUGGAACUCCGAGUGUAGAGGUGAAAUUCGUAGAUAUUCGGAAGAACACCAGUGGCGAAGGCGACUCACUGGCCCAAUACUGACGCUGAGGCGCGAAAGCGUGGGGAGCAAACAGGAUUAGAUACCCUAGUAGUCC